rnacentral:rRNA from 1 species
GAUGAACGCUGGCGGCGCGCCUAAUACAUGCAAGUCGAGCGAGAAGACGUAGCAAUACGUUUGUAAAGCGGCGAACGGGUGAGGAAUACAUGGGUAACCUACCCUCGAGUGGGGAAUAACUAGCCGAAAGGUUAGCUAAUACCGCGUACGCUCCUUGGACUUCGGUUCAGGGAGGAAAGCGAUACCGUGGGUAUCGCGCUCUUGGUUGGGCUCAUGUCCUAUCAGCUUGUUGGUGAGGAACGGCUCACCAAGGCUUCGACGGGUAGCUGGUCUGAGAGGACGAUCAGCCACACUGGCACUGCGACACGGGCCAGACUCCUACGGGAGGCAGCAGUAAGGAAUAUUGCGCAAUGGGCGAAAAGCCUGACGCAGCGACGCCGCGUGGGGGAGUNAA